rnacentral:rRNA from 2 species
CAGCCGCCGCGGUAAAACCAGCGCCUCAAGUGGUCAGGAUGAUUAUUGGGCCUAAAGCAUCCGUAGCCGGCUCUGUAAGUUUUCGGUUAAAUCUGUACGCUCAACGAACAGGCUGCCGGGAAUACUGCAGAGCUAGGGAGUGGGAGAGGUAGACGGUACUCGGUAGGAAGGGGUAAAAUCCUUUGAUCUAUUGAUGACCACCUGUGGCGAAGGCGGUCUACCAGAACACGUCUGACGGUGAGGGAUGAAAGCUGGGGGAGCAAACCGGAUUAGAUACCCGGGUAGUCCCAGCUGUAAACUAUGCAAACUCAGUGAUGCAUUGGCUUGUGGCCAAUGCAGUGCUGCAGGGAAGCCGUUAAGUUUGCCGCCUGGGAAGUACGUACGCAAGUAUGAAACUUAAAGGAAUUGGCGGGGGAGCAC